rnacentral:rRNA from 1 species
UACGUAGGGUGCGAGCGUUGUCCGGAAUUAUUGGGCGUAAAGGGCUCGUAGGCGGUUUGUCGCGUCGGGGAGAUGAAACUCAGGGCUUAACCCUGAGCCUGCUUCCGAUACGGGCAGACUAGAGGUAUGCAGGGGAGAACGGAGUUCCUGGUGUAGCGGUGAAAUGCGCAGAUAUCAGGAGGAACACCGGUGGCGAAGGCGGUUCUCUGGGCAUUACCUGACGCUGAGGAGCGAAAGUGUGGGGAGCGAACAGG